AUGGGAAGCAAGAACGGGAAAGAAGUAUCCCAAGGAUAUCUUGCUCCUUUUAAGGGGAGUACGUACCAUCUACCAGAAUUUCGUCUUCGUCCUCACCGUCCACCUCAAGGGAAAUACGAGUUGUUCAACUUUUCACAUUCGUCCCUUCGCAAUGUUGUUGAGCGUGCUUUUGGGGUGCUUAAGCAGAAAUGGCGCAUAUUGAAAGGGGUCCCAAGUUUCUCACCUCGGACGCAAAAGCAUAUCAUCAUUGCUUGCAUGGCAUUGCACAACUUCAUUCGUGAUAGCAAGUUGAGUGACAAAUUUUUUGAUAAAUGUGAUGCCAAUGAUGAGUAUGUACCUCCAGUGCUACGACGCGAAGUAGCACAAACACAAGCGGAUCCUGUUGAAGAGGAGGAGAACGAAGAUACCAUUGAUACUAUUCGUAGUAGGAUAGCCGAUGCUUGUCUUGCGAUAGCAACAUAG
rnacentral:rRNA from 1 species